ensembl:lncRNA
CCCCCCCCCCCCCGCCGCCCCCGCGGGAUCGUUCGGGGGCAGCCGGGUGAAAACGGGAGGGACGGAGAAGGAGACGACGGGGCGGAGAAGCGGGCGGCCGAGGCGGCAGCUGUUUCCUGUCAGUGACCCUACGGCAUGAUGGUUAGGCUCUAUGAGGCGGCCUGUCACUCCCCAUUUGGCCUCCUCGCCGUGACAGCGGCUCUGAUGGCUCCUGACGUUCACCACCGACUUUCCCAGCACACGGAGGCUGACAUUUCUCAGAGACGCUUCACCCGGCCCGGAGGAGAGCGAUGAGGAACCUGGAGUCGACCCAAGAGAGAAGAAGAGCUCCUGGGGAUGGUGGUCAGGGGUUCAGUUUAGGGGAAGGGAGCGUAGGAGAAAAGAAGGGAGGAAGGGGGCAGGAGGCGAGGCGUUAGCGGGAGGCGAGUGGAUAGCAGAGGAGGACAAAAACGAAGCAGAGGUCAGGGGAAGGGAGGCCGAUCUUUGAGAAGAUCAGUAAGCCAUCCGGGGCCCGGGACCACUGCGCUGAUCGUUUCCUUCUGAGGGAUUCAGCUCAACACCCGGCUGCCUGCACACACAAGCCCCCCCCCACACACACACACACACACAGCGCAGGACAGUCCUAGAGAGAGACAUGCAGUCGCAGGACGGAGAGCAGAUACAGCAGCUCAGAUCUCAUUGUUUGAACGCAAUGCCAAAGAAAAAGAUGCAGUGAGUAAAAUUGGAAACGCAAAAUAAAGAAUAGUCUGUACACAUUGAGUUUAAAUUCUGCAGAAUCAAGAGAUGCAUUCUGAUUUUUUUUUCUUCCAACAAUUUGUACGAGUCAUUAUUUUACCACUGGAAAUCAUCCGGUUGAGAGAUAUUCAUUUAUUUUUCCUCAUGGAACCAUUUGCUUUGACGAGAUUUAAAUUCACGUUCAAAAGCUUCCCACCUCUGAUCUUUGCUGUUUCCUCCACACUCUUUUAUAUAAAUGUAUUUAUAUAUUUUUUGAUUCGUUAUUUCUGUUCCUCACCUUAAUGCUGCCAAUAAUCAGACAAACACAGCAUGUGAGUAAUUCAAUUCUUAAUGUCUUCAGUAUUCAGAGCAAAGCAGAAACACACAACAAGGAUUCAACCCAGAAAAACGUCCACAUUCUGUUUUAAAAACCGAGCACCUAACCUUCGCCAACAUAGUGCAAGUUGUUAUACUGCAUCUCGGCUGCGAGGUAGAGACCACAUUUGACAAUUCAGGGGGGAGAGAGGGAGAAGAGGGACGGCCGUG